rnacentral:pre_miRNA from 1 species
CAUUUCAAAGGGACAGGGCAGCAGGGAGCCUGGGGUCAGCAGGGGACUCUGAGUCCCCUGCUGACCCCGGGCUCCAUGCUGCGCUGCCGCUUUGAAAGA